CUUUCUAUAUUUUAGGAUCAAUUUCUUUGUAUGAUUGCUCCUAACCCUAUGUCCAAUUCGGAGGCCGAAGGAACAAACCUCGAUGAGGAGAUAUAGCGUUCUUUCCUGAGCGUGAGCGGAAACUUAACGGUCAGUGCGUCAUUUCUUCACGAUGACCGUUCCUAACUAACUCUCGGUAGUCGGAGGGGAACGCAGUCUGAAAG
rnacentral:snoRNA from 1 species